GACAGAGGGUGCAAACGUUGUUCGGAAUUACUGGCGUAAAGCGCGUGUAGGCUGCUUGGCAAGUCGGAUGUGAAAGCCCCUGGGCUCAACCCAGGAAGUGCAUUCGAAACUGCGAAGCUGGAGUCCUGGAGAGGAAGGCGGAAUUCUCGGUGUAGAGGUGAAAAUUCGUAGAUAUCGAGAGGAACACCGGUGGCGAAGGCGGCCUUCUGGACAGUGACUGACGCUGAGACGCGAAAGCGUGGGGAGCAAACAGG
rnacentral:rRNA from 1 species